ACAGGGGGUGCAAACGUUGUUCGGAAUUACUGGGCGUAAAGCGUGUGUAGGCGGCUUUGCAAGUCGGAUGUGAAAGCCCCGGGCUCAACCCGGGAAGUGCACUCGAUACUGCAGAGCUUGAGUGUCGGAGAGGUUGGUGGAAUUCUCGGUGUAGAGGUGAAAUUCGUAGAUAUCGAGAGGAACACCGGCGGCGAAGGCGGCCAACUGGACGAACACUGACGCUGAGACACGAAAGCGUGGGGAGCAAACAGGAUUAGAUACCCUGGUAGUCCACGCCGUAAACGAUGGGUGCUAGGUGUCACGAGCUUUGACUCUCGUGGUGCCGUAGCUAACGCGUUAAGCACCCCGCCUGGGAAGUACGGCCGCAAGGCUA
rnacentral:rRNA from 1 species